rnacentral:pre_miRNA from 1 species
UUGUUGUGAAAGACAUGGGUAGUGAGAUGUUAAAUUCACUCACCUUGCUACUCUGUCUUUUGCAUUAAG